GGAGAGAUGGUCGAGCUGGCUUAAGGCACCGGUCUUGAAAACCGGCGUACCUUUAUGGGUACCGUGGGUUCAAAUCCCACUCUCUCCGCCA
rnacentral:tRNA from 1 species